rnacentral:rRNA from 1 species
ACGGAAGGCAGCAGUGAGGAAUAUUGGUCAAUGGGCGGAAGCCUGAACCAGCCAAGUCGCGUGAAGGAUGAAGGUAUUAUGUAUUGUAAACUUCUUUAGACGUAGAGAAAUAAGGUGCUCGUGAGCACUGAUGCUAGUAUACGUAGAAUAAGGAUCGGCUAACUCCGUGCCAGCAGCCGCGGUAAUACGGAGGAUCCGAGCGUUAUCCGGAUUUAUUGGGUUUAAAGGGAGCGUAGGCGGGCCUUUAAGUCAGUGGUCAAAGCGUGUGGCUCAACCAUACCACGCCGUUGAUACUGGAGGCCUUGAGUGCACAUAAGGAUGGUGGAAUUCAUGGUGUAGCGGUGAAAUGCUUAGAUAUCAUGAAGAACUCCGAUUGCGAAGGCAGCUGUCCGGGGUGUAACUGACGCUAAUGCUCGAAAGUGCGGGUAUCAAACAGGAUUAGAUACCCUGGUA